AUGGCAUAUUUGAGUAGGAAGCUGGGCAUCCAGAGGGGAACGUCUGUCGGAUGGCAUUUAUGGUUUGCACCGAGAAGGAAUGUAGCCAAUUCUAAUUUUAUAAGAACUUGUGCACGGACAUCGGGCUUGGCACAAGAUGUUUGUAUCCACUCUUUGGAGGGAGAAGGUACCGGAGGGCGGGCCUUGGACCUUUCGAGGCAACCUUGUGUUACUAGCACCAUAUGUUGGAUUCACAAAACCAUCAAUGAUUAUGUUGUACCAGCUGAAAUUUUGGCCGAAGGUUGCUUAAGGGAGGAGAUCAAGGGGAAUAGCAGAUUGGUCGAAGGAAAGGCGAGGUAA
rnacentral:rRNA from 1 species